rnacentral:miRNA from 1 species
GAUUGCUGCUGCUUUUGUUGUUGAUGAUGAUUCUGGUGGACCGAUAUGGGCAUGCUAGCCACUCCUCGUCCAUCAUCAUCAUCAUCAUUAUCAUUAUCAUCA